rnacentral:lncRNA from 1 species
GUGACGACGCCAUCUCGUUAGCACCACAGUCGGUGCGCGGUCCGACCCUUGCGCUUGGCUUCCUUUCGGGCCGACUUAAGUUCGGACCCAAGACAAGAAAUCUCUUCUUCCAGCCUCGCCUCCCGGUCAGUCGACUCCUUCAGAUGUUCGACCAGCACCGCCUUGUCAGCUUUGGCGGUCGUCGCCCUGUCCUUCCAGGCCGCCCGGAUGUCCCCGAACCUCCGGUACCCGGCCUCCAGUUCGGACAUAGUAUAAAUCAGCUGCAAACAUGGACUAACCGUCAGGAAGGCAAAAUAAUGAAGACAGUA